rnacentral:rRNA from 1 species
CCUACGGGUGGCAGCAGUGAGGAAUAUUGGUCAAUGGACGAGAGUCUGAACCAGCCAAGUAGCGUGAAGGAUGACUGCCCUAUGGGUUGUAAACUUCUUUUAUAUGGGAAUAAAAUGUUCCACGUGUGGGAUUUUGUAUGUAACAUAUGAAUAAGGAUCGGCUAACUCCGUGCCAGCAGCCGCGGUAAUACGGAGGAUCCGAUCGUUAUCCGGAUUUAUUGGGUUUAAAGGGAGCGUAGGUGGAUUGUUAAGUCAGUUGUGAAAGUUUGCGGCUCAACCGUAAAAUUGCAGUUGAAACUGGCAGUCUUGAGUACAGUAGAGGUGGGCGGAAUUCGUGGUGUAGCGGUGAAAUGCUUAGAUAUCACGAAGAACUCCGAUUGCGAAGGCAGUUCACUGGACUGCAACUGACACUGAGGCUCGAAAGUGUGGGUAUCAAACAGGAUUAGAUACCCGUGUAGUC